UAUCGUAAUCUUCACACUGAUCUGAGCAGGAAAACGCUCCAAAUCUGUUGAGUCAGCGUGUCUGAUUUCUUCAUUUUUGAGUGACGUUCUCCUGUGGUAAGAAUCAUGGUUUUGUGGGGUUCAAAAAAACUAUGGCAGUGCACGGUUGUUGGACUUUCCCUAGUGAGUGAGUGGUGGAAAUGAGUUUAGGGUGUCCAUGCCAGGUGAGAUUCCACUUAGAUGAAGGGCAGCACUCUGGGAGUCUUACUUAAGGAAGAUAUCACAUUGAAAUGUUAUUGCAUGUGACUGAAUGAGAACUGGAAUAAGGUGUGUAUGUGUAAGUGCUCCAUAAAUAAGGAGACAGGUGUAAUAGCUCUGAAAAUUUGUUUUGGAGGCCGUGUGAAUGUUGCAUGAAGCAGUGUGUGUGAGUGCUCGAAGGCCCCAGUGUGUGUAUGUGUGUGUAUUUAAGACAGGGCCCUCUGCGUGUGUGUGUGUGUGUGUGUGUGUGUGUCAGUGCGUGGGUGCGUAGGAGAAACAGAGAGAGAUGCUGGUGUGAGCAUAUGUUUCCUGUGUCUGUGUGGAACAUGAGUGCAUAAAAGGAGACUGGAGUCAGAAAUCUGUUAACAAAGCUUGUUCAGCAUCAAGGGUAUGUAAACUUUUGAACGGGGUAUUUAUUUCAUUUUAUUUAUUUAUUUAUUUUUAUAAAUGUAGCUAUUAUCUUGUCUUGUGGACUGUUAAUUGUUUUAGGGCAGUGAUAAAUCGUUUUAAUCCUUUUUUUAGUCUAGUAGUUUUAAAAAACAUUUUAAAACUCUUGCAAAAUAUGUUUGAUGGGCAUUAAAUUAAAACCAGAACUUUAUGUUGGACUGAUUGAGAUCACCUUUAUUGAGCUUUAUAAUAUUUAAUUGUAAGUACAACUUGAUUAAGUGAUGAUUUUUUGUAAAUGUGUGUUGUAAAGGUUUAAAUGCAUUAAACACUAACUAAGCCCAAUCUGCAACAGUCCUGCUUUAAUCCCAAUUAUACACCACUGUGUUUAAUGCAAGCACUUUAGCACAAAACAAAACAUACACGUGUUUAUGAGUGAACGUUUAGAAAC